GGCGGUUUCAGUCCCUGCCGCCGAACUCCGGAAGACGCCGUCGCCGCCGAACUCCAUGACUCAUGGCUGCCACACAUCUUCCUCCACGCACGGCCGCACCCCUGCAAAUCACAACCAGCGCCAUGAUGGCCAUGGCCUUCCCACGCAUCGGCGCUCCCCUGCAGAUCUUGCUCCAUCGAUGGCCUGUACAUCGGCCAAGGUCGAGGGCGCUGCACCAUCCUUCUAGCGUGUGGACGGUCGCCGGUGGUAGGUCGACAAGGAGGAGGAGCCCAUCAGCACGCCAUGUCUCCCAGCCACUCCUGAGAUGGGCGAUCCAAAGGGAUCAAAAGGAGGAAGAGGAGACCCCUUGUAGCGCAGAUGUCCAACGUCCAUGCUCUUCUUCAUCCACCUGCCUCUCUUAUCUCCUCUGGCUGGAGGUCGAUGGCGGAUCAAUGCCUUUGCUCUGCCCUGCCCCGAUCUGCAAGGAAGGAAGGCGGCAGCAGGGAUUGGAGAGAGGAGACGAGAGGACGGAUGCUGAUCGGGGAUAGACGAGGUGGUCUCGGUCCAGAGUAAGACGAGAAUGACAACUGGAAGGCAAGACGACGUUGGAUGGAAGGGAGAUGGAGCGAGACAGAAGGGGCAUGAGGAGAGGCCGCCGUGGAUAUUUUUGUAGCCACUCGCAUGUGUGCUUGCUUGCUGAUUUUCGCAUGUGGGCGUGGUGUGCCCUUGCCGCUGUGCGUGGUGUGCUGUUGAACGUGUGUGUUGUGUGCUUGCUCUCGCGCUAUCUGAAGCCGCCUGAACUUAGAAGACGACAGAGGCGUCAGCAGCUGCAGGUGGCCCAGAGGUGGGGGAGUGGCAGUGUGGCACUGCCUGCAGUCGGUGGCCUUCUUGACAGCGCUGCGGGCGACGCUCCCCCCAACCAGCCCCAUGGUGUGUCUGCAGGGGACGGAAAUCGCGCGUCCACGAGGCCAGCACAAGAUCAGACUGAUCAGCUAUGGUUGUGGUUCCUAGUUGCCCGAAGGUGAAAAUACCAUGCUGCUCGGUACUUGUCCUCCCAUGUAUGAACCGUUGCAGAUGCAGGUGAUGUGAACAUAUUUGUAUGCGUGUAUGUAGCCAUGAUGCAAAAUUCAGUUUACGUGAUGUGUGUCUUCAAAGAAUUUGGCAGUUUUGGCACUAGGAUUUUUUGGCUAAAUGCAUCGCCUCAACCAUAAGUAGAACACAAACAAUUGUGAGACAUAUCUGAUUGAUACAUACGUGGACCUUUAGACAAUAUAGAACUGAAUAGUUUUCAUCAUACCAAUUAGCUACCUAUUUUUUACAUUUAAAUUCUUUGUGAACUACUGUAAUUGUUAGAUACAUAUGAGUUUGAAUAAUUAUUAGUAGCACGUACAUGUCUAUCAUUGCUGAUAAUGCUAGGUACGUCCAUAGUUUAAUGAAAGAUUUACAGUUUCGGUAUUGUCCUAAAUUAUUUGUUGUUAUAUCCAUGGUUUAAUGAAAGCUUUACAGUUUAUCUGGACGUCAAACAUUCCAAGCUUCCUUUUUGACAGCCGACAGGUGAACUAAGAAAGGAAGGCUUGCUCGAAAAGUUUUACUGUCUUUCUGGCAACUUCUCAAACAAGUCAACAUUAUCACUCACCCUGUAGAUGGCCGGAGAAUGCGCAGAGCGCCAACGACAACCUCAAACAAAUGCAGCAGAGCAAGGUGAUGAAUUCUCCCAUGUUUCCUAAUCCGAAUUUUUGCUCGAAUCUCUUGAUUGUUUGAUCCAGUUUGUUUUUACAGUACAAUGAUUCCUAAUCUGAAUCUUUGCUCGAAUCGUUCGAUCGAUCCGUUUGUUGUUAUCGUGGUGCCGGUCCCUGGCCCCGACGUACUAAUCCUCGUCGCUGAUGCCUCUGACCCAGUCUUCCUCAUCGAUGCGACUGAGUUUGAGAUAAUGCAUAAGCAUGCAGCUUCGCUUCUCAAGCAGAAGCAGACGCUGCUCCUUGACACUCUCCCCAUCUAGAUGUGUGUUGACAUUUAUCUUACCUUGUUUCGAACAUAAAUUGAUUGUUUAUCAAGUAGGAAAAUUUGGUUUCCUCUGCAUGGUGUGAUAUUGCUCCCUUUUCUAGGUCUAAUUUAUGAAGAAACAAGUACAGAUGCUCUUCUAAUCUAAAAAAGUAAAAAGAAAGAAACAAGUAGUAUAGAGCUGCUGACAGACACUGACGUAAGAAAGAAUUUUUCGUGCUUUGGGUACGUACUUUCUUUUAACCUUCUGGCACUGCUGUUUUAUUAAUUUUUCCAGAUGUUGCAGUCUGUCAAAUAGAUCCAUAUCAGGUGGAAACCUAAAUUAAGUUCAUGCAAGGUGGAAACUAUCUAGAAAUAUUUUCAUAAAUUGCGAAGAAUCCUACUGAUAUUGUUGAUGGGGCAUUUCAAGAUAAAACAGAAGAUCUUCUCGGGUACAACUAGACUGCUUGCAGGAAAAACAAGUAAUCUACUUGAAUGGCUCUGCAAUUACACCGAGGAUGGAAAACUUAUCCACUCUGCAGGUGUACUAUUGGCUUCUCAAGAGUAGAUCCAUGAAGGCUGUUCCUCCAAUAUAAAUGGUUGUAGAGAAGAUAGGUUUGACAUUAUCCAUAGACACAUAUUGAGGCUUUCUUUUUUCUUGAGAUGCAGCAAAGGGUUCAAAUGGAAUGACAAAGAAACUUAUAGAGGAAAGGAAAGCACAUACUGAUUGUGUAGGGCUUUUUGUUGAUGUAAUUUUCCAUGCCGGUGAACCACUUUCUGCAUAUAUUCAGGCGGAUUCAGAGGUAAGCGUUUUUUAUA